rnacentral:rRNA from 1 species
AAUCUGCCUGGUAGUGGGGGAUAACGUCCGGAAACGGACGCUAAUACCGCAUACGUCCUACGGGAGAAAGCAGGGGACCUUCGGGCCUUGCGCUAUCAGAUGAGCCUAGGUCGGAUUAGCUAGUUGGUGGGGUAAUGGCUCACCAAGGCGACGAUCCGUAACUGGUCUGAGAGGAUGAUCAGUCACACUGGAACUGAGACACGGUCCAGACUCCUACGGGAGGCAGCAGUGGGGAAUAUUGGACAAUGGGCGAAAGCCUGAUCCAGCCAUGCCGCGUGUGUGAAGAAGGUCUUCGGAUUGUAAAGCACUUUAAGUUGGGAGGAAGGGCAGUAAAUUAAUACUUUGCUGUUUUGACGUUACCGACAGAAUAAGCACCGGCUAACUCUGUGCCAGCAGCCGCGGUAAUACAGAGGGUGCAAGCGUUAAUC